UACGAAGGGGGCUAGCGUUGCUCGGAAUGACUGGGCGUAAAGGGCGCGUAGGCGGCUCUGCACGUCCGUUGUGAAAUCGCCCGGCUCAACUGGGCGGGGUCAGCGGAUACGGCAGAGCUUGAGCAAGCUAGGGGGCAAUGGAAUUCCCGGUGUAGUGGUGGAAUGCGUAGAUAUCGGGAGGAACACCAGUGGCGAAGGCGGUUGCCUGGGGCUUUGCUGACGCUGAUGCGCGAAAGCGUGGGGAGCGAUCCGG
rnacentral:rRNA from 1 species